UCCAAAGUGAGGUUGUCCAUGGGCAGAACAGGUAUAACAUAAGAAGCAGUUGUGAAAACUUCCCCACACUGCCUUGCCAAUGUGCUCAAAUCCUGACCUGAAGGAACUACUACUACUGGACAUGAAAAUUGACCACCAUGCCUAUGUUUGCAUUACCUAA
rnacentral:sRNA from 1 species